CGCUGUAGCUCAGUUGGUAGAGCACGUCAUUCGUAAUGAUGGGGUCGUAGGUUCAAGUCCUAUCAGCGGC
rnacentral:tRNA from 1 species